GUAGGUGAACCUGCGGAAGGAUCAUUAACACGUGAAUACUCACGUUUUAAAACUAACCGUGAACUGUUGUAUCCCCUGUUGUAGAACAUAGGUGAUGAGUGAGGAAAUAUGGUGCGAGAUCGUAAAAAAGUCUCUUCCUUUCUUGUCUAUUGUGUGAUCGAGCACAUGCCCAUGCCUACAAACAGAAGACUAAUUGCCGAUGCUU
rnacentral:misc_RNA from 1 species